GGUGGAAUGCAGUUUGUGGACUGGGCUAGGUGGAGUGGGGUGCAAUAAUGGUGCGGCUCUUAUGCUUGUGUUUGCUUCAAACUUUCGCGCUGGGAUAGAGCUAAAAUUGUAGUGGCAUCAAAUGUGAAACAUCGAUUUAAUGCUUGGAACUAUUUUUAUUUAUUAUGCACCGCAGAAACAUGUAAACUGCAAAAAAAUAAAAUAAAUAUAUUAAAUGCUAAUAUUUACGUG
rnacentral:misc_RNA from 1 species